CUACUUCCUCAAUUUAGCUAAAGAAAAUAAAGUUUAAUAAUAAAUAAAUUAAUUAAUGGCUCUGUCUCUAUCUUUGAUCUCUAAUCGAUCUUAUCACCGGAACACCGCCACAAUCCGCCGCUACAUCUUAUUUUCGCACUCCAAUCCGAUUUUAAUAGCUAACUGUUUUUGUUUCAGCACCAGCACUGAGUCGAAUCGGACCGAGUUUCCGGCGUGUAACGCGUACGAUAUUUUAGGAGUUUCAGAGAGUUGCUCAUUCGCUGAAAUCAAAGCUUCGUUUCGGAAAUUAGCUAAAGAAACUCAUCCUGACCUCACUAAUUCGAAUCACGAUUCCUCCGCUUCUCAUCGUUUCAUUCAAAUCCUCGCUGCUUAUGAGAUUCUUUCGGAUUCUGAGAGGAGAGUUCACUAUGACAACUAUCUUAGGUCUCAGAGAAAUGUUGUGAAGAAGGAUUCUAGAGGAGGCCCAACCUUUUGCAUGUAUAAAUCUGAAACUGGUCGAAUUAAGAAUAUGGAAGUUGCUGAAUGGUUAAAAUGGUAUAGAUUGGCUUUGAAUGACAUACUGUUAGAGAAGAAGGUGGUGGCUGGAACAAGCUAUAUUGAUGUGCUUGAAGCUGAUUUUUAUUCAGCUAUACAUGCAGCUUAUUACGGCCCUCUGAUCGAGUCUAUGAAUCUUCUUCCUGAUCGUUUUGAGGCCGAGGAGAGGUCUGUCUAUGAAACGCCUGAGAUCCUACACUUAGUUUCAGGGCGUGAUCUUUUUGGAAUGGUCUGUCUGGCCAAUAAAGUUCCUGAACUGACUUCUCCCGGCAUAAAAAAAUUGAAUUCUUCGGCCUCUAUUGGUUUGGGUAUCUGUGAGUCUAUUGCAGAGACAGGCCUCUUCACGAAUUGCAAUGGAGUGAAUGGUAGUGGAUUGUCUCAGAUGCACAUUGGGAAUAGUGUUAGUCACACAUCAGAUGCAUAUAGAGAUUUGGAAUUGCACGUGGAUGGAAAGGUAGUUGCUGUGGCCACUAGAGUUCCUCCUAAAAUACAAAGUAAUGGAGUACAAAAUGAAGAUGUUCAAGAUCAAAUACAUGUUUUUCUUAAUUCAACUGAUGAUUCUAUGCAUUAUAGAAGUGGCUUUUCCCAGGAUUCUAGUUUGUGUAAUGAAGUUGGACUUAAGAUUCCUAUAGGAACUAUAACAGGGUUGGGGACCAGUCCUGAAGAAGGAUCCUGCUUUGUCUAUGAUAGAAGUGGUACAAAAACCCACACUGUAUUAAAACAUAGAACACUGCUGGUCAAGCAUAUGCAUUGGUAUCCAGUUGAAGAAAAAGUUUCUGUUUGCGAGUGCAGGUGUAGCAGAGCUCGACUACCACCAAGCAGAUUUUGGCUUUUUGAACCUCGCUGUGACAUGCAUGAUGUAGGGGGUUGGUAUAUUGAAACAUUUGGUAGAGAUAAAAAAGGUCAUACAGUUCCAUCUCAAAGGUAUUGGGAUGGCUUUGAUGGAAGUGAGCAAUUCGACAGGAGACUCCAUCCAGCAAUGUAUUUACUUGCUCUUGCAUAUAGAUCACUAGAUAUUGAAGAUGUUAAAAGAAGGAAACAAACAUUAAGGGGUAUUGUUGAAGGUCAGUUGUUUAGAAUUCUUCAUUGGUGCAAGAAACUGGUUUAGGAGAGACCGGUAUGGCCUUUAUGAUGUUUUAUAUCUGCUUCACCUCUCUGGCUUGCUAAGGUAAGCGUGAAGAUCUAAGUGAAGUGCAUAAUUGACUCGGGAAGUCAGCAAGCUUGUUCUCUUACCUAUACUUUGUGUUGAUAUUUGAGGAGUCGUCUCUUGUGCCAGAGUGGUUCAGAAAGAAAUCUUCUACUGGUGUUGCAAAAAUAAAAAGUAACCCUGCUGUAACAAGUAAUGCACCUGUUCCAACUAGCGUUUGUUUCAGCAGUUUGAUGACUGGUUUAACCUGGAAGUAUGAAAUUUUCUUAUGCAACCCAUUUGUAUCUUUUAUCUUAUGUCACUUUGAAAUUGGUAAACACAAGAAGCCUAGCAUCUACCAUCUAUAUGUGUUAUAUUAAAAGUUUCAAUUUCUUGGUAUAUGUCCAUGUGCUUAUACAAACUUGACUGUGUGCAUGUGUGCAUACUUGACUUGUUCUUGUAAGAUAAAUGAUGUUUCAUUGAAGCUUUAACCUACGGUUUUCUUUGCUCGUCUUUUGAGACUGAUUUUUCUGAUUUUCCUAUUUAGAACUUUAAUUUUUGUUUGUGUAUUUCAUAAUCAUGCAAUAAUAUAGAUUGUUCAUAUGUGCAUUACCUUGUAAGAGCCCAACAGUCUAUCACGAGCCAGGACCUGCCAGGUGAAAGGGAUAAUUUAUUAGUUUCUGAUGUUGUUCUAGUGUGCAAAUAUAAUAACUGCUUGUGCCAGACUUUCAGUUUCAAGACAAGGUGACCUUUGACACUUUUAGGAUGUUUGGUAUCGAAAAUUUGGGUUUCCAGUCAGUCCAAUUGUAGCAAAGUGGUACCUUGAGUUUGUAGUGCGUUCUUAUAAGAUAUACCAAAUAUUAUUUUUUUCAUUUGCAUCGUUAACAUCCAUAUUUUUUUUUUGCUGUUAUGCUAUUUAUGGGACACGAAAAUGCAUGUUAAGAGAGAGAGAGAGUGCUAACCUCUGGGGGCUUUAUGUACAUUUGUCCAUCAUACCAACCACUCUCUUCAUAUGGGACAACUGCAGAUAGAAGUCUAUCUCCAACGACUGAAACUUGCAGCUGAGAUUGGAACUCCAAAUACUGUGAAGGUCACUAGCCAGAGACCUCCAAGACGAAGAAAAAGCUGUCCUGGUUCCAGUUCCCCCCAUGAAUACAAAAAUCCAUCUUUCAGAGAUGUAUACUCGUUCACCUGCAGAAUUGCGGAAAUCAGUAAGUAUGUCUUACGCUAUAUAUAAUCUACAAAUUAAAAUAUGGCUCAAUUAACCAGAAUCCUGUCAGGAUAAUGCCCUCUAUAUAAAUGUCCGUUUCCCAUAUUUUCCUUGGGGUUUUCAGCGA